AGCGAACGCUGGCGGCAGGCUUAACACAUGCAAGUCGAGCGGGCGUAGCAAUACGUCAGCGGCAGACGGGUGAGUAACGCGUGGGAACGUACCUUUUGGUUCGGAACAACACAGGGAAACUUGUGCUAAUACCGGAUAAGCCCUUACGGGGAAAGAUUUAUCGCCGAAAGAUCGGCCCGCGUCUGAUUAGCUAGUUGGUGAGGUAACGGCUCACCAAGGCGACGAUCAGUAGCUGGUCUGAGAGGAUGAUCAGCCACAUUGGGACUGAGACACGGCCCAAACUCCUACGGGAGGCAGCAGUGGGGAAUAUUGGACAAUGGGCGCAAGCCUGAUCCAGCCAUGCCGCGUGAGUGAUGAAGGCCCUAGGGUUGUAAAGCUCUUUUGUGCGGGAAGAUAAUGACGGUACCGCAAGAAUAAGC
rnacentral:rRNA from 1 species